UAGGGUUCCACUAGCCUUAAAUGCCUAACCAUCUCUCUCUCUCUCUCCCCUCCAUUUUUAUUUUCUCUCUCCAUUUUCUUCUUCUCUCUCAUGGCGGUGGGCGCUUCCGUUUUUUUGGUUCAGUCAUCGGCGCUCUCUAAUUCGCUUGGUGCAGGUCGGGAACUGCUUCGCUUUUUGUUGCUCUUCGUUUGAUUCAGCUCUUUAAUUUCCCUGCCGUAGGAGGGGAAAAUCGGGCGAAUUGGAUCCCGCCUUGCAUCAACUGAAUCCGAGACCGCGGUGAAGAUUGCAUGGAUCUCGCGUCUUUUACACCCGAUGCAGUUUCUUCAAGAGGCUCUUUGGAAGAGUAAAAAGAAGCCCAAUAUAGACCCACUUGAUAAUUCACAUAUUGGGGUGUUGUGCUUAUGUGAAGAUUAUUUUAAUAGGAAAAGGAGUAUGAGACGAUUGAGCAAGAUUAUUUUAAUUUGUUCUCAAGGAAGGGCUCGGAGAGUUUGCUUCGACACGGAAAUGAAGACUUUUGAGAACAAAUAUUUGGACCGGAAAAAAAGGGGAUGAAGUCAGAGCACAUAUGUCACGAAAAGGAAAUUUGAUUUCGGUAAGACUUGAUCUGAAUCGUAGUUCAGAUUCAAGUCGGUUCAAUGAGGGUGACAGCGAAAGUCACCAAAUGGGUUAGUCUUUUCCUUCCGUUUGUCCUACAAUAUAGAAAAUUGUUCAGUUUGUUGCAUUAGGAUUUUUUUUAAUGAUGUUGAUGAAGAUAAAAAUCUAUAUGAGAUAUGGUUUUUAGUGAAAA